GAGUUCGAUCCUGGCUCAGGAUGAACGCUGGCGGCAUGCUUAACACAUGCAAGUUGGACGGGAAGUGGUGUUUCCAAUGGUGAACAGGUGAGUAACGCUCAAGAACCUGCCCUUGGGAGGGGAAUAACAGUUGGAAACAACUGCUAAUACCCCGCAGGCUGAGGUAGGGGUGAGCAAAUAACCGCUAUCACAACAAGAUGGACUUUACCAUGGCUAAGAAUGGACCAACACUUAAAUCUUGGGUGGAAAUUUCUUUUACCAAUAUCUCUCGGCAAUCUUAUAAAUCCAAAACUGAAAUCGUUAAAAACCGCUAAGAAACGAACAGUAUAAAACCGAACCGAAACCGAAAACUUUAAAACCGAACCCGAAACCAAUUAUUCGGUUCCGGUUAUAGCUAGGAACCGAUUUGAUCAGAUUUUUAAAAUAAGUAUUAUGUAUAUAUAUAUAUAUAAUUUAUGUAAUUCAUAUAAAAAAUUUAAAAAAUAAAAACUAGCAUGUAAACUAGUUAUUUUAACUAGACUUUCUUAUAUAGUUUAGGACUUGAGCCUCUAGUAGAUUUUUAAUUAACCUGGGCCUCAGUGCAUUAUUGAAGGGAGAAUCCAGUAAUACACUGAUAACUCAUAUUAGUAACAGUAUAACAUAAAAUAAACCAAUAGUCUGAUAUAGGCACAAACAGAGAGACUGCAUAUUACUGCCUAAGCAGAGAAAAUAGGUAAACAAGUAAACAACCCAUCAAAAGAAAUCUAAUUUUACUAAAUGAACUUUCUGGCAAAAUCAUGGAUGUAUAAAUUUAAUUAAGUUUUGAUUACUUAUGUAUAAAUAAUUUUUUCUCAUGCGGUUUUCUAACAAAAAUCGAACCGAUAGAAACCGAAUCCGAGGUUUUGAAACCGAAAACGAAACCGAUGAUGAGGAUGCGGUUGCGGUUUUUGAUUUUUAAAACUGAGGGUAUGCGGUUCCGAUUGCGGUUUUAUCCAAAUCCCGGACCGAAACCGCACCCGCUCUCCCCUAGGCUGAGGAGCAAAAGGAGGAAUCCGCCCGAGGAUCAUGUCUGAUUAUCUAGUUGGUGAGAUGAUAGCUUACCAAGGCGAUGAUCAAUAGCUGGUCCGAGAGGAUGAUCAGCCACACUGGGACUGAGACAUGGCCAAGACUCCUACGGGAGGCAGCAGUGGGGAAUAUUCCGCAAUGGGCGAAAGCCUAAUUUCGUUCCAACGCUCGAAAAUAAUAUUCCAGAGCUUUC
rnacentral:ncRNA from 1 species